UACCAGCACCCCGAGUGGUCGGGACGUUUUAUUGGGCCUAAAGCAUCCGUAGCCGGUUCUACAAGUCUUCCGUUAAAUCCACCUGCUUAACAGAUGGGCUGCGGAAGAUACUAUAGAGCUAGGAGCGGGAGAGGCAAGCGGUACUCGAUGGGUAGGGGUAAAAUCCGUUGAUCCAUUGAAGACCACCAGUGGCGAAGGCGGCUUGCCAGAACGCGCUCGGACGGUGAGGGAUGAAAGCUGGGGGAGCAAACCGG
rnacentral:rRNA from 1 species